UCUUCCGCAAUGGACGCAAGUCUGACGGAGCAACGCGGCGUGAGUGAUGAAGGUUUUCGGAUCGUAAAACUCUGUUGUUCGGGAAGAACAAGUACCGAUCGAAUAGGGCGGCACCUUGACGGUACCUAACCAGAAAGCCACGGCUAACUACGUGCCAGCAGCCGCGGUAAUACGUAGGUGGCAAGCGUUGUCCGGAAUUAUUGGGCGUAAAGCGCGCGCAGGCGGUUUCUUAAGUCUGAUGUGAAAGCCCCCGGCUCAACCGGGGAGGGUCAGUGGGAACUGGGGAACUUGAGUGCAGUAGAGGAGAGUGGAAUUCCACGUGUAGCGGUGAAAUGCGUAGAGAUGUGGAGGAACACCAGUGGCGAAGGCGACUCUCUGGUCUGUAACUGACGCUGAGGCGCGAAAGCGUGGGGAGCGAACAG
rnacentral:rRNA from 1 species